rnacentral:misc_RNA from 1 species
UUUGUGCCUGAAAUAAUAAAUGCCGGCAAGAAGUUUGCUCUUCAAACUAUCAAGGGUCCCUUUCUUUGUGCACAGCUCAGGCUACUAGAUGGACAAUUCAAGAACCACCAUAAAGCUACUUUUCUUGGUCUGAAGCAGAAACUAGAAUCUUUGAGGCAAACAGGACAGAAACAGAUCCAUGUAUUUGUGAUGACUGAUCUCCCCAUGGCUAAUUG